AUUGAACGCUGGCGGCAGGCCUAACACAUGCAAGUCGAGCGGAUGAAGGGAGCUUGCUCCUGGAUUCAGCGGCGGACGGGUGAGUAAUGCCUAGGAAUCUGCCUGGUAGUGGGGGAUAACGUCCGGAAACGGGCGCUAAUACCGCAUACGUCCUGAGGGAGAAAGUGGGGGAUCUUCGGACCUCACGCUAUCAGAUGAGCCUAGGUCGGAUUAGCUAGUUGGUGGGGUAAAGGCCUACCAAGGCGACGAUCCGUAACUGGUCUGAGAGGCUGAUCAGUCACACUGGAACUGAGACACGGUCCAGACUCCUACGGGAGGCAGCAGUGGGGAAUAUUGGACAAUGGGCGAAAGCCUGAUCCAGCCAUGCCGCGUGUGUGAAGAAGGUCUUCGGAUUGUAAAGCACUUUAAGUUGGGAGGAAGGGCAGUAAGUUAAUACCUGGCUGUUUUGACGUUACCAACAGAAUAAGCACCGGCUAACUUCGUG
rnacentral:rRNA from 1 species